rnacentral:rRNA from 1 species
CGAACGGGUGAGUAAUGCGUGACCAACCUGCCCCAUGCUCCAGAAUAGCUCUUGGAAACGGGUGGUAAUGCUGGAUGCUCCAACUUGACGCAUGUCUUGUUGGGAAAGUGUUUAGUGGCAUGGGAUGGGGUCGCGUCCUAUCAGCUUGUAGGCGGGGUAAUGGCCCACCUAGGCUUCGACGGGUAGCCGGCCUGAGAGGGCGGACGGCCACAUUGGGACUGAGAUACGGCCCAAACUCCUACGGGAGGCAGCAGCU